UACAGAGGGUGCGAGCGUUGUCCGGAAUCACUGGGCGUAAAGGGCGCGUAGGUGGUGGCUUAAGCGUGCGGUGAAAGCUCGGGGACUCAACUCCGAGUCGGCCGUGCGAACUGGGCUCACUGGAGCCAUAGUAGAGGCAGGUGGAAUUCCGGGUGUAGCGGUGGAAUGCGUAGAGAUCCGGAAGAACACCGGUGGCGAAGGCGGCCUGCUGGGCAGUGGCUGACGCUGAGGCGGCGACAGCGUGGGGAGCAAACACGG
rnacentral:rRNA from 1 species